rnacentral:rRNA from 1 species
CCUACGGGAGGCAGCAGUGAGGAAUAUUGGUCAAUGGGCGCGAGCCUGAACCAGCCAAGCCGCGUGAGGGAAGACGGUCCUAUGGAUUGUAAACCUCUUUUGUCGGGGAGCAAAAGACGCCACGCGUGGCGUUCCGAGCGUACCCGAAGACAAAGCAUCGGCUAACUCCGUGCCAGCAGCCGCGGUAAUACGGAGGAUGCGAGCGUUAUCCGGAUUUAUUGGGUUUAAAGGGUGCGCAGGCGGAAGAUAAAGUCAGCGGGAAAAUUGAGAGGCUCAACCUCUUCGAGCCGUUGAAACUGGUUUUCUUGAGUGAGCGAGAAGUAUGCGGAAUGCGUGGUGUAGCGGUGAAAUGCAUAGAUAUCACGCAGAACUCCGAUUGCGAAGGCAGCAUACCGGCGCUCAACUGACGCUCAUGCACGAAAGUGUGGGUAUCGAACAGGAUUAGAUACCCUAGUAGUC